rnacentral:tRNA from 1 species
AUUAUAUUGGCAGAAUAAUGCAUUAGAAUUAGAAUCUAAUUAACUAAAAAUAUUAUU